rnacentral:lncRNA from 1 species
UUUCAAACCAUGUCUACAGGACCCUCAGAGUCUAAGGAGGUGCUCUCUGACCAGAAGUAGGAGAAGGCUGGCUAAGGAGUAGUCAAUUCUGUUUAUCUCUAAAAAAAAAGAAGAAGAAGAAAAGAAAAAACCCUCUCAGUUUCAUUGAUCUCUUCCAAAGUUUUUCUAGUCUUGAUUUCAUUUAUUUCUGCUCUGACAUUUGUUUUGUUUUACUAAUUUUUGGCUUAAUUCUUCUUUUUCUAGUUAUACGCUAUGUAAAGUUGUGUUGUUUAUUUGAGAUUUUUCUUUUUUCUUAAUGUAGGCAUUUAUAAAUUUUCUUCUUAGAACUAUUUUUGCUGUAUCCCUUAUGUUUUGGUAUAUUGUGUUUCCAUUUUUGUUUGUCUCAUGGAUUUUUAAAAAUUUCCCUUUUGAUUUCUUCCUUGACCUAUUAAUUGUUUAGGAAUGUGUUAU